GACAGAGGGGGCAAGCGUUGCUCGGAAUCACUGGGCGUAAAGGGCGCGUAGGCGGGAUGGCAAGUCGGUCGUGAAAUCCUUCGGCUCAACCGAAGAACGUCGGCCGAUACUGCCGUUCUUGAGGGAUGCAGAGGAGAUUGGAAUUCCCGGUGUAGCGGUGAAAUGUGUAGAGAUCGGGAGGAACACCGGUGGCGAAGGCGGCCUGCUGGGCAGUGGCUGACGCUGAUGCGCGACAGCGUGGGGAGCAAACAGG
rnacentral:rRNA from 1 species